rnacentral:rRNA from 1 species
CCUGACUGCUAUCGGAUUGAUACUAAGCCAUGCGAGUCAUUGUAGUAAUACAAGGCAGACGGCUCAGUAACACGUAGUCAACCUAACCUAUGGACGGGAAUAACCUCGGGAAACUGAGUAUAAUGCCCGAUAGAACAUUAUGCCUGGAAUGGUUUAUGUUCCAAAUGAUUUAUCGCCGUAGGAUGGGACUGCGGCCUAUCAGUUUGUUGGUGAGGUAAUGGCCCACCAAGACUAUUACAGGUACGGGCUCUGAGAGGAGUAGCCCGGAGAUGGGUACUGAGACACGGACCCAGGCCCUAUGGGGCGCAGCAGGCGAGAAAACUUUGCAAUGUGCGAAAGCACGACAAGGUUAAUCCGAGUGGUUUGUGCUAAACGAACCUUUUGUUAGUCCUAGAAACACUAACGAAUAAGGGGUGGGCAAGUUCUGGCGUCAGCCGCCGCGGUAAAACCAGCACCUCAAGUGGUCAGGAUGAUUAUUGGGCCUAAAGCAUCCGUAGCCGGCUCUGUAAGUUUUCGGUUAAAUCUGUACGCUCAACGUACAGGCUGCCGGGAAUACUGCAGAGCUAGGGAGUGGGAGAGGUAGACGGUACUCGGGAGGAAGGGGUAAAAUCCUUUGAUCUUUCGAUGACCACCUGUGGCGAAGGCGGUCUACCAGAACACGUCCGACGGUGAGGGAUGAAAGCUGGGGGAGCAAACCGGAUUAGAUACCCGGGUAGUCCCAGCUGUAAACUAUGCAAACUCAGUGAUGCAUUGACUUGUGGUCAAUGCAGUGCUGCAGGGAAGCCGUUAAGUUUGCCGCCUGGGAAGUACGUACGCAAGUAUGAAAC